CAUAUCCAGCAAAUCCAAUGGAUAAACUGCAACCCGCUUCAAAACCAUACAAUCAGUCAAGUGUGUGGUACAGGAUAAGGCGGAGAGAAGAAGCUGCUGCUGGAGCUCUGAGGUGUGCGAUGGCUGUUCAUCGUGGAAUACAGAUAUUUUUUCCAGUCGAUCUUUAAGCAGCAUGAGAUUGAUCUGCCUCAAUGUGAAAAAUCCAAGGUUGGAGAUUGAACAUCAGCUGGAACGCGUAUGCAUGGAAACAGGAGUCAUCUUGAAUCGCUACCAAGCACGAAGAAGCGGAAAAGUGAGGAGUAUCAAACGCAUAUCAACAGUGAAAUUCUUGAUGAGUUCUGAUGAAACUGCACAGGGGCCAAUGACUAAUGCUGCACACAGGACAUCUUGGACCAGGUUGAAAGGAGUUUACAUCCCUAAAGCAAAAAGAAUAAUCACCAGUCAUCUUUGGGGGAGGGGGAGGGAGAGAGAGAGAGAGAGAGACUCGUCUUUAAUCACAGACAAAGGAAACAAAACCCAGCUGUAAGCAUUGGAGCUAGAGGUUGAGUUGAACAGCCUCCCUUACCAGGGCUCUCAAUCAUCAAACCCUUAAAGCAAUCCCAGACAAUAUAAACAAAAAUGUUCCAGCCGCACUCACUUAAGAUAAACCCUCAGCUGAUACUAGAACAGCCUCACAGACCACAAUUUUCACUUGGUCACU